AUUGAACGCUGGCGGCAGGCCUAACACAUGCAAGUCGAGCGGUAGCACAAGAGAGCUUGCUCUCCGGGUGACGAGCGGCGGACGGGUGAGUAAUGUCUGGGAAACUGCCUGAUGGAGGGGGAUAACUACUGGAAACGGUAGCUAAUACCGCAUAACGUCGCAAGACCAAAGAGGGGGACCUUCGGGCCUCUUGCCAUCAGAUGUGCCCAGAUGGGAUUAGCUAGUAGGUGGGGUAACGGCUCACCUAGGCGACGAUCCCUAGCUGGUCUGAGAGGAUGACCAGCCACACUGGGACUGAGACACGGUCCAGACUCCUACGGGAGGCAGCAGUGGGGAAUAUUGCACAAUGGGCGCAAGCCUGAUGCAGCCAUGCCGCGUGUAUGAAGAAGGCCUUCGGGUUGUAAAGUACUUUCAGCGGGGAGGAAGGCGAUAAGGUUAAUAACCUUGUCGAUUGACGUUACCCGCAGAAGAAGCACCGGCUAACUCCGUGCCAGCCGCCGCGGUAACAC
rnacentral:rRNA from 1 species